UAAAGAAAAUAUCCCCAAUUUUUGUUGUUUUACUGAUAGGAUCGUCAUGGUCAGAGAGGAAAAUGAGUAUUGGUCGUUGAUUUUCAUUUCAUCUUAGUGAUUUAUGUGGUUGUGGGCCCAGAAGAGUUGCUAUAGUUGGGGCCCACAUGAUGAUGGAGGAAUCUCCACAUGAUGGUAUAUAGAUCGCAGGCCUUAUUGGUUCAGUAAAUUCCUCCCAGUUGGCUCUGCAAUCAAUGGGGAGAGUGAAAAAUGGUGAUGAGGGACAUUAUGGUCCUUAAUAGUUUAUAGGAAUGCAAGUUGCAGAGUGGGCAGCUCUAUCUGGUGGUUGCAUUGAUGUUACCAGUCAUGAAAUUUAUUUACAAAUUUGAUAUAUUUGGAAUUUUAAUCUUAAUAUUUUAUUAUGAUAUUAUCUGUUUGGUUUGUCAUAUAGCAAAUGUUGUGUGUUGAUUGCAUCUUACCAAAAGUGCACCAAUAAUUGCAUGAUUUUGACCACUUUUAAAAUUGGUUUUAACCAUAUUUAGCAUUAUUUUUUAUUUUUUUAGGAUAUAGAGAGGGUCCUAAUUAAAAAAAACAAAUGGGUUUUACAGGCUGUGGUUUAUUAUGAGUUUUGGUCGACUGGAAUUAGGUUUAGGUUUAGGGUUGACUGGUACCGCUACAUAAAUGCUUUGUAGUGUGAACGUGGGCUACUUGUAGUUUUGACCAUAUCCUCUGCCACCUGUGAAUUGAGAAUACUAAUAAAUGGUCAGUCAGACCUAAGGAAAAUGAUAUUGUUAAUCAGUAUGAAAAAAUUGACCAUUGUUUCUGCAUCUGAAUUUUGACCAUGUGAUCUAUAAGUUGUGUCAAAGAUGAGCCUGACACUUGAUAUGGGCAGUUUUUAAUCUGAGAUGACACUCGACUAUUGCUUUGGAAGCCUUUAAGAAUCUGCUAAAUGUUUUUCUUUUUUGAUUUCAUUGACUAAUAAAAACUCAAAUGUGGUGAGUUAAUGAACAAGUUUUUCAGAAAGGCUUGGUCCGUUUUAGUAAUUUUUGUGAAGAUUAAACUUGACAUAAAAUUUAAAACUUGGGUGUGAUUUAGUAGUUUUAUAGGUGCCAAUAGUACGUGCACUCUUUAGCAUAAGGACACUGCUUCUCUCCUUCCCCGCAAGGAGGCAUUUAUUGGCUGUUGAAAAUACUUGGUUUUUUUUCUUCUUCUUUAUUUAGUUAUUUCUGAUCUUUUAUUUCUAUAGUGAACCUAUUGCUUCAUAUUACUAAUUGAUUUGUACGUGACAGUGAGAACUCUUGGAACAAUUUCCACAAAACUACACAACACUCUUUGGAACAUCAACCGAAGUUCUUGCCAAAAUGGUGGAUCAGGCUUUUACAGAUACUUCACUAACAAUAUUCUAAGCAAUGUCACAUGCAACUGUUCCUUUGCAAACAACACUUGCCAUGUCACAAACAUUGAGCUGAAGGGUCUCAAUUUAACGGGAGUUAUACCUGAUGAAUUUGGAAAUCUUACUCAUCUGGAAGAAAUGUAAGUGAUAUGUAUUUUGGCUUGUUGGUUCCUUAGGUUAUUGAAUUUUCUUGUGCACAUGCGCUUCCACGCCUGCAAGAGGCUU